rnacentral:rRNA from 1 species
AGCGAAAUUCCUUGGCCGUUAAAUGCGGUCCAGCAUGAACGAUCCCAUGAUACAACAGCUGUCUCCGCGAUAGACUCAGUGAAAUUGGAAUAGCUGUGCAGAUACAGUUUACCCAUAGUCAGACGGGAAGACCCUAUGCAGCUUUACUGUAACUAGUUAUUGCUUACGAUCGGAUUAGGUUGUAGAGUAUAAGGUAGUCGAUUAGACCUAUGUGAAACACCUUUACUUAAUAGGCCGUAAGCUGGUUAAUUUAAUAAUUGACCUUUUUUCAUUAUUUUAUAUAAUUGAGAAAGUUUCUUUAAUAAGAAAUAUAAAAAUUAGUUUAUACUAAGAAAAAAUAGCAGCUAUUACUUUUUUAAUAAAGAUAGUUGUGACAGUGACUAGCUGGCAGUUUUUGUGGGGCGCAAUUCUCAAAAAAAGUAUCUGAGUAAGUCCGAUUAAUUUAUUUAAUUUAGGUUAAAUUAAUUUAAAAUAUAAAGGUUUGGUUGAACCCAAUGGAAAUGGGCAGAUGAAUUCUUGAUAGUAACUAUAAUUUAUUAUAAACUCAAAAAGAAUUUGGUUCUUUUCUUUAUGAAAAGGAUUAAGCAGAAUCUAACAACAAGUGUAAUGGCAUAACCAAGCCUAACUGCGAGACCUACAAGUCGAGCAGACACGUAAGUGGGGCAUAGUGACCAGAUGGUUCAUCAUGGAAUGGCCAUCGUUUAACGAAUAAAGUUACGCUAG